rnacentral:rRNA from 1 species
UACGGAGGGUGCAAGCGUUAUCCGGAUUCACUGGGUUUAAAGGGUGCGUAGGUGGGCUAGUAAGUCCGUGGUGAAAUCUCCGAGCUUAACUCGGAAACUGCCGUGGAUACUAUUAGUCUUGAAUCUCGUGGAGGUAAGCGGAAUAUGUCAUGUAGCGGUGAAAUGCUUAGAUAUGACAUAGAACACCGAUAGCGAAGGCAGCUUGCUACACGAGUAUUGACACUGAGGCACGAAAGCGUGGGGAUCAAACAGGAUUAGAAACCCCA